GAAUGCUGACAUAAGUAACGAUAAAGCGGGUGAAAAGCCCGCUCGCCGGAAGACCAAGGGUUCCUGUCCAACGUUAAUCGGGGCAGGGUGAGUCGACCCCUAAGGCGAGGCCGAAAGGCGUAGUCGAUGGGAAACGGGUUAAUAUUCCCGUACUUGGUGUUACUGCGAAGGGGGGACGGAGAAGGCUAUGUUGGCCGGGCGACGGUUGUCCCGGUUUAAGCGUGUAGGUGUGUGUUCCAGGUAAAUCCGGUUCACUUUAACACUGAGGCGUGAUGACGAGGCACUACGGUGCUGAAGCAACAAAUGCCCUGCUUCCAGGAAAAGCCUCUAAGCAUCAGGUAACAUCAAAUCGUACCCCAAACCGA
rnacentral:rRNA from 3 species